AGGGAAAUAGCUCAGUUGGUAGAGCAGCGGUUUCCAAAACCGAAGGUCAGGGGUUCAAGUCCCUUUUUUCCUG
rnacentral:tRNA from 2 species